rnacentral:lncRNA from 1 species
GGGCUGCAGAAAGAGAGCUGAGAUUAUGGAAAGGGAAAAAUACAUCGAUAUUUUUCCAAAACUUUAUCCAUUCCUUACACCCACCUUUAAAUUCAUUCAUUAGUUACUACAGUGGGUUGAAUGGUGGCCCCUCAAAAGAUAUGUCGGCCUAAUCCCUGGUACCUUGGAAAAUGCCCUGAUUUGGAAAAGGGUCACUGCCGAUGUAAUUAACUGAAGGAUCUCGAGAUGAGAUCAUCUCAGAUUGUGCAGGGGUCCCAAGGACAAUGACAAGUGUCCUAAUAUGAGACACACAGAGGGAAAAGAGCAGAAGGUCAUGCUGGAGGGAGACAACACUGGAAUAAUGGAGUUACAAGCGAAGGAAUGCCAAUGAUUUCCUUGGAAUCACCAGGAGCUGGAAGAGCAAUUCCAGAGGAAAAGGAGCUUCUCCGUCUACUUCUGGAAAACCUCAAGGAUGAGUCUUAUUGGAUCAACUCAGCUCUCCUGCCCUUCUUUGAGCCAACCACCAUGAGCAAAAGAGGCAAUAAUCUGAUUCAUCUGGAGCUCCAGCCAGACUUGGGGUCAGCUACUCCUUUACAUGGACUAAGAAUUGGGGGGAGGGGUCUCCCUAAAAAGGUCACGGCACUGCUAACAGAAGAAAGUGAACCCUGGAGGGGGGAAUAGUCAGUGUUCCAGUGGUUAAUCCUGGCUCCAGGGUUGGAAUUGCUGUGUCUUACACUUCUGCCCCCAACCAUCUGUGAGACCCCAGACAUGUUACUCAAUCUCCCAAAGCCUCAGGUCUCCCAUUUUAGAAAUGGGACACUACUUCUUUCUAGGUAUUUGCUUUUCAGCUUUUUAUUGUAGAAAUUUUCAAGGAUAUUCAAAAGUAGACACUAUAGUAAAAUGAACCCCAGACACCCAUCAACCAGCUGUAAUAAUUAUCAACACAUGGCUGAUCUUUUUUGAUCUAUAUUCCCCACUUCCUCUCCCCACCCCUUGCUCUUGGACUAGCUUGAAUAUUGCAGAUAUCAUAUCACUGCACCUAUAAAUGUUUCAGUAUGCAUCUCUGAAAAAUAGGGACUCCUCUUUUCCUUAAACAUAACUACUAUACCAUCAUCACACAUAAAAAAUAUUAACAAUAUUUUCUUAAUAUCAUUCAAGAGCUCAGAGUUCGCGUUUCCCUUAUUGUCUCUGGCAUUGUUUCUGCCACUUGAAAUCAUUUGUAUCAGGAUCAAACAAGGUCUGUACAUUACAUUUGGUUGCUAGUCUCAUAAAUAUGGUUCAGUCUCUAGGUUCCAACAACUAUCAACACAAACUCAAUCUUAUUUCAUUACCUCACCCCUUGCUCCUUAUGCUUGGCUCACCCAUCCCCUCUUCUGGAGUAUUUUGAAGUAAAUUCUAGACACCAGCAUCAUAAAUUUCAUCUCUAAAUAUUUCAGUUUGUACUGUUAAGACUCUCAAACUCUCCUUUUAAAACACAACCACGAUACCCUUAGUAUGUGGUUACUAUAUUAUUAUAAAAUAAUAAUAAUAGC